UGUCCCUUCAAAGAAAAUGUGAGCUCAUAAAUCCUGGGAGAUUAGAGAUCCUGAGGCCCGAUGUGGCAACAGCUCCGGGUUUAUGGCAUUCCUCAAGACAGCCAGGAUGGGAUGUUCUGUGACCUGGCUUUUAUGAAGAUCAAAAGGCUGGAAACUGUUGAGAAUAAGAUUUUCACAUCAUGCAGGGGGAGACACCGAGCUGUGAGAUGGGAGGAGGCUCUUUGAAGUGUGCAGAUAAGGACCCUUCUAACCUUGAGCCAGAUUCCUCAGAGGGGCUGGCAUUGGCAGCUGCAUCAUCGUGGUGCCUUGAGAAAGCACUUCUACACAGUAUUUCCCAUGUAAGCAAAGGAUCUUAGCACUGCAAAUCUUCCCAAAAAAGGAUUCCCCUGAGCUGCUCUCUCUUUUUCCCUCCAUCUGGGUGCACUGGCUGAAAAAAUGCCUUUGAGACCAUGGAAGGACAGGAAAUCAGUGUGGAAGAAGUGAGGUCUGGGAACAAGAAGUCAUGGCAGAGGCAAUUCCAUGCUGAACAGCAGUGAAACAAAAGCUAAAGCCAGACAAUAUUGACAAACAGAAACGGAACAAGUGAGGAGCUGCCCCAGCAUGGUCUGGUAGUGAAGAAGGAGAGCAAGGAGAGUCUGAUGCCGAGUUCUCCAGUCAUGACUGCCCCACAGUUGCCUUCUGUCACCUGGACAUGAGGUAGAUGAGGUAGAGCAUCUCCAAAUAAUGCCCAAGUCACCUUGCUGGCUUCUGUGGAGGGGAAGGUAAGGGUGUAACAAGCACCCUUCCUGAGAAAGGGUGUCGUGAAGUGCAUGGGGUCAGGAUUGCUUUAGACCUGGGAUGUGAAGACUGUAAGGCCUGGCUUUUCCUGAGACAGCUGGAGUAAGAAUGAGGUUGGGUUUUAAGUCUCUUUUAUCACUAAAAUCUGGAGGUCUAACCUGAGGAAGACAGAGAACCCUCAGAAUCCUGGCCAUUGUGACCACACCACUGUCAUUCCCUUUUGUGAUGGAGGUGAAGACUAAAGCUUUGUGCUGGCCAAGGAAUUCCUUCAGUCAGGAAUAGUCUUAGGAGACUGAUUCCAGAAGCCUUUCUCCUAACCAAAAGUAAAUAGAAGAGAGGAGAAUUGGGUCCUUUCUGGAGUAGCCACCUGCCCUCCCACCCAGCCUACUUUGGCUGGAAGACUUGGAGCAUCCUCUACUUGUGCCUCCCCUCGUGUGGCCAAAGCACAGUUAAGCCUCCUGUCCCUCUCUCCCCCCAUAAAAGUGCAUGAUGGGAUUCUCUUUGCUGCCUCACCCUCCUCUCUCCAGAGCUGUGUGUUUGAAAUGAUAUCUAUUUCUCUUUGUGACAGCACACCGUGACUGCCGCCUUGACGCUGUGCCGAGCUGACAUCCCAACCGGUCUGACACUGAUGCCUUUGGGCAGAAAUCAGAGCCGGUUUGCUCCACGGCUCCGUGCAGCCACGGCGCCCGUAGCGCCUCGCAGAGCCCCCAGCGCCCUGCCGGGGAAAUGGAGCGAGCACGUGGGCCCCACAUGAACCCCGGGGAGGGCGCAGGCGUCACCUGCGCUCAUCCUCCUGCCCCUUUUCAGCUUGCAGUGCUCGCAUUCACAUGGGUUUAUUUUUUUCUAUUUCCCCCCUCUUCUCUCUCCCUUUUUGCCGUGCCUGUGAGAGGAUUGGUUUCCUGUUUCUCCCGCGGCUGCAGAGUCCUUGGGGAGCUGGGUUUCCGUGAGCUGGAAAAGGAGUGCCCAAGCGUCUGAUCAGCCCUGAUUAGUGUUGAGAAAGAUCUAAUGGGUCCUGGCUUCUGGGACCAUUACCUGUCAUUUACUUUUAUUAAGUCUGUGAUGAGAAAGUUUAAAAUUAAAGGCUUUGUAAAUUGGAUUCCAGUUCUAAAGGAGGACACCGACCGGGAAAUCAGUGCCUAAGCUCGCAGAUGGACCACUGGGAACAACACCAGACCAGGGCGUUCCUCUUCAGCUGCUUUGACAAAGGCACAGCAGCUCCUUGACUUCAGCUAAUUGCCACAUUCCCUUGAAGGAGGAGUGAUGCCUCUCCCAAGUUUCUCUGCUAGGGAUGUGAGGAGCUGAUCUCUGAGUUAUUCAGUGGUUUCUUACAUCAUUCCUGUGUUCCCAGCCGUGCCACAAGGCUUUCAGAAGGCUGGGAACCAAGAACGAGAGACAAGGGUGACCCUUCCUCCAGCCCCUUCUGUCCUCCGGGCAUGCUCGUGCCACGUGUGGCUGCAAACAGUCGGGACAUCUGGAAUGGGUUCAUGUGAGUCCAUGGUCUGGAUCCUGGUGCGUGGGAAAUCCUCAUCCUCUGCUCAUUCCCCUGACAGGCAGCUCCUGCCUCGGCGUGACAGCACACAGACAGAUCCUCUGCAGAGUUCAUGGGGGAGGAUGUUCUGAUUGGGGUCCAAAAUCAUUCUCACAGUAACAUCUUCUGAUGUUUAGCCCUCCAGAUGGGGCAGGAUCUCACAUCUAGCACAGACUUACCAUGUAUAAACCACUAGAAAACACUGAUUUUGUUACUUCAAGGCAAAACCUGCUCUCAUCCUCCUUGGUUUUACAAGUGACUAAAUGCAUCAGUCCAGUUUCUGCCUCACCACUGGAGUCUUCCCAGCUGAGGAUGUAUUUCACACCUCCCACCUGAAGGACACCCUGCCCAGGAAAGUUCCUCUGUCCGGUUCAGUGCCUGGUCACAGCGAGUUUUCCUGGCACAAGUGAGUGGAAAGAGCACUUUGGCAUGGAGAGGAAAUGAGCAGCAGAGGUGAAAGGUGUCCUGGCAGGCACUUCCCAUUUCUGUCCUUAUCUCCAGUCUCCAGCUGUCUUCAGAGGCCUCCCAGCUACUGUGUCCUGCAAGUUCAAAACCCUGCAGCCCAGUGGGACUGAAAAGUGUGAAGGAGCACAGGGACCGGAGCUGAGUGACAUUGUGGCUGCCUGGCUGUUACAAUUUAUCAUGAACGCAUCUCACUUCACUUCUGGCUCCUCUGACGGAAGGAACAGCCGGUCUCCGGGAGGUCAAAGACAUUAUUUUCCCCCAGUCUUUCUCAGUUUCCAGCACGUAUUUGUCACUUUGAAAAAGCAUGAAUUCUGGAUUUGAUGCACUUUAAUUGAUUUCACCCUCAACAAGUCCAACUGUCCAUCAACCUUUCCUUUUUCUUUCCUCUCCCCCUUCUUCAUUUCUUUCCUCUGUCCCUUUGCUUUGGGAGUGAUGUUUUCACCCGCCUGCAUGUUGGAGCUGUUGCA